rnacentral:rRNA from 1 species
AGUGUGACGGGGUUACCCAAAGUGUUCAAUUUUGAACUGUGGUAGGUGAGUAAUGUUCCUUACUAGAACGGAGAGGGCAAGGCUGGUGCCAGCCGCCGCGGUAAAACCAGCUCUUCAAGUGGUCGGGAUAAUUAUUGGGCUUAAAGUGUCCGUAGCCGGUUUAGUAAGUUCCUGGUAAAAUCGGGUAGCUUAACUAUCUGUAUGCUAGGAAUACUGCUAUGCUAGAGGGCGGGAGAGGUCUGAGGUACUACAGGGGUAGGGGUGAAAUCUUAUAAUCCUUGUAGGACCACCAGUGGCGAAGGCGUCAGACUGGAACGCGCCUGACGGUGAGGGACGAAAGCCAGGGGAGCGAACCGGAUUAGAUACCCGGGUAGUCCUGGCUGUAAACGAUGCAUACUAGGUGAUGGCACGGCCAUGAGCCGUGUCAGUGCCGAAGGGAAACCGUUAAGUGUGCCGCCUGGGAAGUACGGUCGCAAGGCUAGUGUGACGGAGUGUGACGGAGUGUGACGGA